UAUUGGACAAUGGGCGCAAGCCUGAUCCAGCCAUGCCGCGUGGGUGAAGAAGGCCUUCGGGUUGUACAGCCCUUUUGUCCGGAAAGAAAUCCUGUCGGUUAAUACCCGGCGGGGAUGACGGUACCGGAAGAAUAAGCACCGGCUAACUUCGUGCCAGCAGCCGCGGUAAUACGAAGGGUGCAAGCGUUACUCGGAAUUACUGGGCGUAAAGCGUGCGUAGGCGGUUCGUGAAGUCCGAUGUGAAAGCCCUGGGCUCAACCUGGGAAAUGCAUAGGAUAUUGGCGAGCUAGAGUGCGGUAGAGGAUGGUGGAAUUCCCGGUGUUGCGGUCAAAUGCGUAGAGAUCUGGAGGAACACCAGUGGCGAAGGCGGCCAUCUGGACCAGCACUGACGCUGAGGCACGAAAGCGUGGGGAGCAAACA
rnacentral:rRNA from 1 species